rnacentral:tmRNA from 1 species
GGGGACGAUUUGGUUUUGACAGAUAAAGGGUGUUUUAGGUGCACAGCAUACCGAGAGGGCGACCUUGCGUUAGUGGUUACCAACAAAUUAAACGCAAACGAUUCUUAUUCGUACGCAUUAGCUGCUUAGUUUAAGUAGCGGUCUAACUUAAAUUGCCUACUGGUUUUUGUUAGGCUUUAACUAAAGUAGGAAACCGUUAGCAUUUCACCAGGUUAAUGGGGAUAAUUGGUGAUAGGUCAAAUGAAAGUUUGUUAGUUAACUUAUUUUGUUCCGAAAUUUAAAAACUCACUAAGUAUGUAGAACAGCCUAGGACUGUUAUUUGGACGUGAGUUCGACUCUCACCGUCUCCACCA